CCGAGGUGGCUGGUGUCAGCUGUAGAUGGUGGCAUAGUGGUGGAGCCCCAGUGACCCUCCCAAUCUUGCUCUGCUCCUUCCAAGCAGAAUAUGCUGCGCCCAGCAUGAGAACAUCACUAAUAUGUUCACACCACGAGGGAGAGGAACUUGAAAAAGGAAUGAAGCUUUAAGACACAACUUUAUGGGCUCACCCUCAAAGCUUCCAACAACUCAGAUAUUGAAGAGAUGCUGUUGAUGACAAAUCACUAAAACGGUUCUGGUCUGACCCACAUGUACUAAUGUUUCCUCAGGGAUACAUGGCCUUCCUAGUCUGCGGACUGUAAAAGUGUAGCCUCGAAGAAGAUGCAUCUGAUUUUGCCACGUGAAAAAUAAGCUUUCCCUUCUAAAUCUCACUUUGGCAGAGUUCAGAAGAGAUGUUCUCACCUAAAAUGUGUGUCACUGAUAAAGAAUCCUAGAGACUGGCCAAAAUCAUCACCAUGCCUAGAUUACUUGGACCUUCCUAUUGAGGUGACAUACUCUCAAGGUGGCAAACCACGAAAGAAAAUCUUGAAACAAGGGAAGAUAAUUUUUAAUGCAGUUAUUGACUAUUUUGUUCUCAACUAACUCAGACCCUACAUUUGCAUGAUGAAUACGCUUCCAAUCUUCAAGGAUGUAACAGUGUUACUCUUCUCAAUGUUAUUCCAACCUCAGAGCGUGAUAUUCCUCACAUUGUGGUCAUCCUGGGCAAAUGAGGUUCUUAACAAAUUAAUAUGCUAGUAAGAUAUUUCUGGAAAAUUUCAAAAAUUCACCCUGGCUUUAGAGUUGAUGAAUCAGAAAGCCACUCAUAAAGACUAGUAGAAUUGGUGUUUGUGGGCAAGAUUUAUCCCUGCAUAUCCCUCCCAUCACACAGCCUCCAAGGCACAUGCUCACAUCAGUGAUACACCACUGGGCUGACAGAGAGCACCAUUGCCAAAAUACAGCAGGCCUUUCUCUCCUUUGCCCUCGGACAAGGGCAGGAGGUGCCUGAGCUCCUGGUGGACAGGCUUCGACCCUUUCCUGACAAACCACACACCCAUCAAGGUCACAAUGCCGGGGUCAAAGUACAACAGUGUUUACUACUAACCAUUUUGAUAGAAAAAUGCUCUUGAGCCACCGCGCCCAGCCAGCUAAGGACAUUCUUAAUGGUGAUACAUUCACAUCACUGCCUUUAAAAUCAGGAGAGCG
rnacentral:lncRNA from 1 species